AUCAACUAACACAGUCCAGUGUUAAUCAAUCACCAGCCAAUCACGAUGGAUUUUUUUAAGAGGAAUGGUGGAAGAAAGACAGCGGAGCGGCUUUCCACCCGAGCUUUGUGUCCAUCGAGCGCAGGACGACUUCCCAGCUGGCUAGUUUUCCCGGACUUUUAGACAACAAUGGCGUCGUUUUGCUGAUGGACAACGAGGGGAAUCUCUUUACGUCUGUCAAAUGGAUCAACCCGUCUUCUCUACACCACUAAAGGUUUCUCUGAAUUUAGCUUAGGCCAGUCGAUCUGAUCAAUUCCUCACAUUAAGGAGCAAUGAAGUGGUCUCAGACAGAAAUAACGAGUGUUUUCUCUAUUUUUAUAUGAAAUAUUGAUAGAAAAUAUAAUUUUUAAAGAAUGUAUGUUCUUCUGGUAUCAAAUUUAUAUUCCUUGAGAAAAGUAAUUCUCUGUUAAAAUGAAAACUAGAACCACGAUUUGUUAAGGAAGGCGUCCUUCUGGAGCAUUACUGGUGUAUUUUAUAUCGGCAGAACAUGGAAAGUUUGCCAGCGCGGAAUAUGCAGAAAAAAUCUG